CUGGCUGGCUCAAGAGUGAAGCUGCAGACCUUCACGGCCAGGCGCAGUGGCUGACACCUGUAAUCCCAGCACUUUGGGAGGCCCAGGCGGCAGGAGUUCGAGACCAGUCUGGCCAACAUGGAGAAACCUCGUCUCUACUAAAAAUACAAAAAAAUUAGCUGAGUGUGGUGGCACAUGCCUGUAAUCCCAGCUACUCAGGAGGCUGAGGCAGGAAAAGUGCUUGAACUCAGGAAACAGAGACUGCAGUGAGCCGACAUCACACCACUGCACUUCAGCUUGGGCGACAGGAUUUAUUCUUGCAGCCUAAAUUUUGGAUUCAGUGUUCAGGUCAUAUAUUGUUUUAUUCAAUAUAAUGGCAAGUUGUGUCAUCAAAAAAAUCGGAGAAUUUCAAUUGGCAUAUAUCUGUCAAAAAUAUCAACAAAAAUUAUGACGUGGGAAAGAGCAUAUGAAGAAGUUAAUUUAAAUGAAGAAUAUAUCUUCAAGUGUAUACCUCUCCCUUUAAGAAAGGACCAGCAAUAUAAUUGUAUACCCUUAUGAAGCUGGAAAAAAUUAAAUAAAUAUAAUAAAUCAUCCAAGUUCUAUUUGAAGGAAUUCUAUUACUGAAAUUUUGACUUGAAGAAAUCAACCAAGCUUCAUUCUAGGCACUAGAGAUGUAACAAUAAACAGAAGAGAUAAACUUCCCAUUUUCAUGAUAUAGGUGUUCCACUGGACAAGAAAGGCAAUUAAGAAAAACUGCAAAAAGGGUUUAGAAGCCAGCCUUAUACAUGGAUAAAGAUGCCUUGAUAGAUGGAAGAUAAAGGCCCAAAACAUAGCUAAGUGACCAGAGAAGCAAUCUAUGCAUUUUCAGUGAACAAUGACAAAUUACUGAAAAGAUGCACAUGUUUUGUGAGAUAACAUUUGCAAAUCAUCAUAGGCCAAGAACUCCCGCAUCUGGACAUAUCAUUAAUGUGGAUCCUCAAUACACAACCAGAUACAUGACUGCAGCCUUGGGAAGGUGUUAAAAUUACUGAGGGAUAAUGAGUCCUGAAGAGCUUCAGACAGAAAAUUUGGACCUGUCAAUGACAUCAAAGUAUCCUGUGAAAACUACCCAUUGCGGGCGUUUGGGGGCAGUUACUCUU